AGAGUUUCGAUCCUGGCGUACACGGACGAACGGCUGGCGGCGACUGCCUAACACCAUGCAAGUCGAACGGGGAGUAGCAAUAUCCUAGUGGCGAACGGGUGAGUAACGCGUGAGUAACCUGCCUCAGUACAACGGGAUACCCGAGGGAAACUUCGGUUAAUACGGUAUAAGACCACACUACCGCAAUGGUAGAGGGGUAAAAGGGGGCAACCUGGUAUGAGAUGGACUCGCGUCGCAUUAGCUAGUUGGUGAGGUAACGGCCCACCAAGGCGACGAUGCGUAGCCGACCUGAGAGGGUGAUCGGCCACAUUGGGACUGAGAUACGGCCCAGACUCCUACGGGAGGCAGCAGUGGGGAAUAUUGGGCAAUGGAGGAAACUCUGACCCAGCAAUGCCGCGUGAAUGAAGAAGGUCUUCGGAUUGUAAAGUUCUUUAGUCAGGGAAGAAGUCAAUGACGGUACCUGAAGAAUAAGCUCCGGCUAACCCUACGUG
rnacentral:rRNA from 1 species